rnacentral:rRNA from 1 species
UACGUAGGGGGCAAGCGUUGUCCGGAUUUAUUGGGCGUAAAGAGCGUGUAGGCGGUUUGGUAGGUCCGCUGUGAAAACUCGAGGCUUAACCUCGAGCCUGCAUUCGAUACUGGGCGGCUAGAGUCUGGUAGGGGGAUCUGGAAUUCCUGGUGUAGCGGUGAAAUGCGCAGAUAUCAGGAGGAACACCGAUGGCGAAGGCAGCUCGCUGGGACGGUACUGACGCUGAGGCGCGAAAGCGUGGGGAGCAAACAGG